UACAGAGGUCUCAAGCGUUGUUCGGAUUCAUUGGGCGUAAAGGGUGCGUAGGCGGCGCGGUAAGUCGGGUGUGAAAUCUCGGAGCUUAACUCCGAAACUGCAUUCGAUACUGCCGUGCUUGAGGACUGGAGAGGAGACUGGAAUCAUGGUGUAGCAGUGAAAUGCGUAGAGAUCAUGAGGAAGACCAGUGGCGAAGGCGGGUCUCUGGACAGUUCCUGACACUGAGGCAACGAAGGCCAGGGGAGCAAACGGG
rnacentral:rRNA from 1 species